UUUAUUUUUUAAUGACGGGUUUGGAAUAAUACAUCACAGCCUAUGCUGCCGCAUAUAAGCUUGUUUGGACUAUGCCGUUGAUUGCUUUAUUAUUUUAUCAGCAUUAAAUAUAAUUCAUAAGGCAUCCUAUCCCAAAUCAGUUCACCAUGAGUCUAGUGGCAAGCUCAUGUUUGAAUGUAGCCACUUUGUCAUUAGGAAUGAUAUUGACUGCAGUUGUUUAAUCAUCAAAAUUUUGAACUUGAAUACAGUUCAUUAAUAGUUUGUUCAUAUCUAUGGUCUUUAACUGCUCUUUUCUUGCCUCUUUUCUACAGACUGUCCUGUUUCAGAUACAGAUAUUGUGUUCCUAAUAGAUGGUUCAGGCAGUGUUUCACCAAGAGAUUUUGACCAAAUGAAGACAUUUAUGAAAAAUUUAAUUACACAGUUUUUAGGGCGAAAUAGUCAGUUUGGUAUAAUGCAGUAUUCCAGUCAGUUUGAUAUUGAAAUGGACUUCAAUGACUUCAGAACUUCAGACUGGUCCUUCAGGAUCGAUAGAAUAAGGCAGCAACGUGGUUUGACUUACACUCCAACUGCAAUACGACAAGUAGU